rnacentral:lncRNA from 1 species
AGUUCAUUGACAUGACCACUCAAAACUUAAGUAAUUCCUAACAUAACUUAAGUAAUUCACUAAUUCCCAACAUAACUUAACUUACCCUAUACAAAACAAAAACAACUAUGUAGCUAUGUGAGCCAGAAACAUGGGUGUGGUACUACCACUAUGUCAGAUGCGAUUACCACUCACUUCUCUAAUCAGGUAACAGCAUAUAACCAGAACCACAUAUUUAACCUUCCAAUCCGAUAAAACUUCAACAGAUACUCAAUAUUCAGAAUUCAACUGUAUAAUUGUAUAAACAGUUUAUACAAUUCAACAAAACUUUAGAUUGUUAGUCUCGGUUCGUAUGGUCUGAAACGUAUAUGAUUGUGCGGUUACCUUUCGUGAUAUGAUUUGUGUGGUUAGGUAUGAAGAUGACUGUGUAUUGUUUUUCAAGCUUAGUUACUGUAGUUUUAUAAACUACACCUUCAAAGCUUGAAGAACAAUACAC